GUCCGCAACUCUGGAGAGCGGCAGUAGAACGGCGGAGGGAUCGUAACCCUGGCGUUCAGGCUGCCCACCGAAGGGGCGCGCGUCGUUCGACGCAAUCUCUCAGGUACCGAGGACAGAGGGGCCAUG
rnacentral:ncRNA from 2 species